rfam:Myotis brandtii contig229908, whole genome shotgun sequence.
GCUCGUGUGGCUCAGUGGAUAGAGCAUCGGCCUGCAGACUGAAGGGUCCUGGGUUUGAUUCCCGGUCAAGGGCA